CAGCCACGCGCCUUCCCGCAGGAGGGUGUGGGGCGCGAGCCUUCAUAUUUCUCUGACGUGAGACAGAAAGUGUCAGAAGAGCCUGAAGUAUUCAAAACACACUCACUCACUCACUCACUCACUCACACACGCAUAAAGAGGAAACAGCAGCCAGAGAGAAGGAGAUGAAGGCAUUCCGGAGCCUGAGCCAGCCUGCGCGGCGCUUCGCCCUCAGCGGCCUGCAGAGCUUCAGCAGCAGCGCCAUGAGUCCCCUCAGCACGGCCAGCAUCAGCCUCGCGACCCUGCUCAUCCUCACCACACCAGCCUGUACCGGUGCUCCAGCAGAUCUCCAACAGGCCACAAUAGAUCAUAGGCAGCUACUCCGCCAGAUAGAUGCUGUGUGCUCAUCCUACCUCUCUGCAGAUUUGAAGUUGUUAACAUCUGACAUCUUAGGAGAUCUCUGUGUCUUGAUGCUGGUUCAAAAGACAAAGGAGCUGAGAGUUCAAGAAAACAAUAAAAGGUUUUUAUUUCAUCACUCCAGACCACAAAGUUCUGUCUUGUCAAAGGGGACAUCUCAGUUGCACCCUCUUCUGCAUCUCGUUUCUCAACUCCAUACCAGAAGAGAGAGAGGGCUCUUCAUGCACGUAUGUACCACUCCCAUCAUGUCUUUCAUUUCUCUUCAUUUUAAUCAUCUUUUCACAAUCACUGUUGAACUAAACACAUUAAUAAAAAGAAAUUGUUCUUUUGCAUGUAAAAAAAACUGAAUGCAGCUGGUGGCUCAGACAGUCAUAAAUAAAUGUCUGUUUAGUUAGAUUUUUUUCAGUGCAUUUCCUUAUGACAGCUGUGCAGACCUGCUGCCCUAAACGAUGCAUCUGGACAUUUAACAGGAUUCGAGGACGCCAUACAAAGAGCUGCCUUCUGUGCAAACGAUUACGAGAAAUAUAUGUGCUUCAUCCUGCAGCUGGCUUAAACAUGUUUUUCCGUCCUCAGAUCACGACGGUAACGCUGUUCGACUUCACUCCACAUUAGUUGUAUUUCCAAGCUGAGGGUAAUUAUGGUUCUAACAUUAAUGCUGCUGGAAGGUGAACUCAUGCUUCCUAACCAGCAAACCAACAGAAAAGUGUGAAAAUGGUUUGUUUUGAAGAAUCCACACAGUUUAGUGGAGUGUGCACUGUUGCAUUUGUAGGAAUGGGGAGUUGCUCUCGUUUGGAACAAACGUUUGAAAUUAGAAAUUAGGAACGUGAUGCUCGUUUGAGAGGAAUGUUGAAUCCUGCUGCUUUUUGUGUCCACACAGGCGGACCUCCAGGGGCCCAGAGGCAUUGAGAGCAGAGGCUACUUCCUCUACCGGCCACGAAAUGGAAGGUCUUUAGAGUAUGAAUGAAGGAAAGACUCUCCACCUGUGCACGUGCAGAGACGACACAGAGCCUGAGACGCUGCACCCAGACCAAGUGAUCCAAAGUCUAACUACAGCCCUUUUCCACUCCUGUAUAAUCAUGUUUGAGUCAGCACAUUGUACAUCAAAUAAAAUACUCAUUUACCCAUAA